AAAGUGGAUUAGCGGCGGACGGGUGAGUAACACGUGAGUAACCUGCCUUAGACAUUGGGAUAGCCUCGGGAAACCGGGAUUAAUACCAAAUAAAAUCAUAAUGACACAUGUCAUAACGAUCAAAACUCCGGUGGUCUAAGAUGGACUCGCGUCCCAUUAGCUAGUUGGUAGAGUAAAAGCCUACCAAGGCGACGAUGGGUAGCCGGCCUGAGAGGGUGAACGGCACAUUGGAACUGAGAAACGGUCCAA
rnacentral:rRNA from 1 species